GUUAAGGCUGUGAUAGAUUGGCCAAGUCCAGAUUUCUGGGGUCUGGGAUCUGCUGAAGGCUGUGAUGUACAAGAUUUAGACCGUGCCAAACUUCAUCAGCUCGGCUGUGGUUCAGCAGCUGCUCGCAGCAUGAGAAGUAUGUUCCAGUCCACAGACACAUGAUGGUGCAUCUGUGUGAAGGUGGUGGAGUACAUACUGGACCACAACGCUUGUCUGCUGCCGGCGUACUUCGCUGAUCAGGAAGCUGUAUCCUGAGCUGUUGGGCAGCCUGAUAUCUGACUUCUUUGAUAGUUUCUGACCGACCGCCCACAUUAACUCCAUCUGCAGUAGGACACAUCCACACAUCCUUGUCUCAGUGUCCCAUGAGCCUCUGCGGCAGUUUCACAUGUCUGAAUGUGUUUCAGGGCGCUGCCGUCUUCUGCCAGUGGUUAAUAAUUCUGGGGCUAUUUGUAACUCGUGGAAACUGGACCCGAGCACUCUCUGCUUCCCGCUGAGGGGCAUGCUACCAUACGAUAAGAUACCGCUCUCGACCUCGCAGAAGAACAGUGAAGCUCAUGUGAGAACGGACACUGCUCAUGGUUUCCCUAAAUCAAAAGAAUCAUAAAACAUGUCAAAUUGUGGACAGGUGCAUCCAGAUAAUUUGUUAAUGCUGGCACAAAGAUCCUGAAGUUACUGUGAUUGAUUGGUUAAUCAGUGCACAGGGUUAAUAAUGAUUAAUCACACUUCUCAUAAACACAGGAUCCAUGCCAGAACUGUUUGUGCUUCCUCACAUAAUCUUUCAGGGAUCAGUUGCUAAAAGAAUCAGAAUCAGUGACGUAAUACAUCAUGAAACCUUAUCACAUAGAAAAAAUAAAAUAAAAUAUACCAUAAACACAUGAAUAGAAAAGAAAUAAAAAAAACACCCCUUAACUCUAUGACUUCACAUUAAACCCUGCUUCAUCAUUAACGGUGAUAAAGUCUGAAGAGUAACAAUCCAGAAUAACUCUCACUGGCACAUUCACUUUUUCUGGACCACAAAAGUGAUUCAAAGAGAGAAAAUGGGCUGCAGCAGAGUAAUUAAGAUCUUUUCUUCCGAUAGAAGACAUAGAGACUGCGAGGACAACGAAUCAGAUGCCGACACAUGCCGAGGCACAAGUAAUAGCAGAGUGAAUUCUGUAGUUUUUUUCUGGUUCUCGGAGGACAAAAAAAAAGGACGUUUUAAUCCUAUUAUUACAAUGUGUAGAUUGUCACAGGGAUCAUUUCCAUUCAGUGAGGGACUAGGAGUUAAACUCUGAAAGCAUGCAUGCACUAACUAGUCUUUCAGAUUUCUCACAUGUUUAUAUACAGUCAACAGAGGGUGCAGAAACAGCAUUGCCUCCGGAUCCGAAGAUAAUACCUGACAUUCUGUGACAGGGCUAUUUAAAACUGAUCUUAUCAGAUUAGACACGGGUGAAAAGGAUGCAUUGAACACUUUGUCGACCCAUUCAGAUGGGUAAUCUCUUUCUAAAAUGGUCUUUUUCAUGAUUAUCAAUUUCCCAAUAAAGUCUGAUUCAGAAUGACAAAUCCUCCUCCCUUUUUUUAAGAGGAGGAACCAAUGAGGCCCUUAGGAUUUUGAAAAAACGGACUUUAUAAUAUAUAUUGCAUCCAGGGAGCUGAAUAAUGACAUCACUGAAUUCAAUGAUGAACUUCCU